CUCCUCUGAAGUGGCGGUUUUCCAAACUAAAGCCUUUCUUCGUAACUAAAAUGUUCUAUUCCUCUUAUUAAUUUUGUAGCCCACAACUUUGUUGAUAAUGAGAUACUAUAUUCAUCAAAACAACUGUAGCUCAAUGCCCCUGUCUCUUGAGCCUCCCCCAGCGCCGGGCCGAUCCUCAAGGCGCCCGAAGAUGGGGGCGCCAAGAGGAUCCCUGUCACAGGGGGCCCAGGAGUUAGCCAUUAUGAAGAAUGUGUGACUAGGGCUGCAUAAACAAAGUGAUUUAAAGCUGCACUAUCAAUGUCUGGGGACUUUGCCAAAUUAAGACUCCCGACGGUGACAUUGCCGCUUGUGUCCGUGGCCCUGGGGGGUAGGGGGAGACAGGUAAAGGUGAUACUUACCUGAACCAGUCCCUCGCGGGCAGUGGUGUAUCCUGGUUUUGUGCUGCCCUAGGCAGGACAAAACUCAGGCGCCCCCCCCCCCGCGCCAGCCCCACCCAACCCUUCCCCCCGCCCCGCCUUCUAAAUACACACACACAUUCACUGACAGAUACGCAUACACACACUAACAGACACAGACACUCACUCUAACAGACACACACACACUCUAACAGACACACACACACACACUAAUAGAUACAAACACACUAACAGACACACAGACACACACACACACAGUCAGACACACACAUACACACAGUCAGACACACACACAGUAACAGACACAAACUGUCAGACACACACACACUAACAGACACACACAUACACAGUCAGACACACACAUACACACUAACAGACACAAACUGUCAGACACACACACUGACAGACACACACAUACACACUAACAGACACACACAGUCAGACACACACAUACACACUAACUCACUAGCAGACACACUCACAGUCAGACACACACACACACAUUAACAGACACACUAACAAACACACAAUCACAUUAACACUUUUUUAAAAAUUUUUAUUUACC